rnacentral:ncRNA from 1 species
UCCCAAAACACGCCUCCAAUACCAUAAGCCCCCUUUGCCCAGGGGGGUUCAUAGAGAACGGAAAUCCCGAGUAGAACCAAAGGGUAAAGUCUCCUUGAUUUUGAUUGUCAGUGUGAAUACGAACAUAAAAGUGUCGCCCAUCGAUCCUCGAGUCCCUCAGAAUUUAGGGCUAGAG